CAAAUGUCUGAAACCCUGAGUCAGAACCCAGAGGAAGAACCUCAGGAUAAAAGGGAGUCACAGCAUAGAACAAUUGGGAGUCUCGCUGAGGAGAGGAUGCUGUGCCUCAGACCCGGACAAUCGGCAUCCCACCUGCCAUACAGACUAUUGGGACUUCCCCGGCGGAUUGCGGUGUGGAUGUUGCGUGGCUCCUGACAGGCAAUUCACUGGAAAGGCAGUGAUGUGGGGGUGAAGACACAGCGGGGAUCCCACCCCCUCCAUUGCACCUGUGACCUCGAAUACGCACCUGCUUCCCCGGGACCCGGUGUCCUGGAGUGUUGACUGAAGGCGCCUGCCCCGAGCACCUCCAGGAUCCUGAAGGCCCGGCCAGCUGUGCACUGUCUCCUUGACCCCGCAGCCCCAGGAGCAUGGGCUCAGCCGGGACGGGUGCUUUUCCUGCCAACCACCUCCAGCUCACUCACACACACACCUCGUCCAGCAGCUCUGCCCGGCACGGCCUUGCUGGGUCCCUCAACCCCGUACUUGCUGUGGAGACGCUCUCUCGAGUGUCUUGUCCCUUUCCUGCCUCAGCUGGUCCGUGUCAAUGGGCUGUCCUUUGCUGCCCAAGGCUCCGUCUGGGCCUGGGGCCCCUCUGUUCUAGAUUAGAGACAGAAAAGGAGAAGGUGUAACAGGUUAGGAUGGAAGAGCGCAGACCCUGAAGGCUAUUUGUUCUUUUUUUCAUCUGUAUGGUGGUUUUUAAAUCUAUUCACAAAUACUUUGACCUCCUUCCUUCAAAAAGUGAAGUCUAAGGGCUCGCCUGCUGGUGCAGCAGUUAAGUUUACACGUUCCAUUUGGGCAGCCCAGGGUUCACCAGCAGAUCCCAGGUGUGGACCUAGCACCACGUGUCAAGCCAUGCUGUGGCAGAUGCCCCACAUAUAAAGUAGAGGAAGAUAGGCACAGAUGUUAGCUCAGGGCUAAUCUUCCUCAGCAAAAAGAGAAGGAUUGGUGUGGAUAUUAGCUCAGGGCCAAUCUUCCCCAGCAAAAAGAGGAGGAUUGGUGUAGAUGUCAGCUCAGCGCUAAUCUUCCACAAAAAAAAAAAAAAAAAGUGAAGUCUAACUCCUCUCCACAAAUGUGGGCCGUCCUUUGUGACUCACUUCUAAGGGACAGAAUGUGGUAGAGGUACCGCUCGCUGUACGAUGGCCAAGGCCUGGUCAUAAAUAGGGUAGCGUCUGCCUGGCUCUCUCUCGUUCCCUUGGGUCGCUUGAUCUGAGGUCGGGAGGACACAGCAGCAGACUGGGGGGCUAGAACCGAGACCUCCUGCCAGCUCCAGCACCAGCCAGUGCUGCGGGUGAGCCACUGCGGAGGCUUCAGAGGACGACGACCUCGUGAGAGACCUGAGCCAGAACCAGCUGGCCAAGCCACACUGAAUUCUUGACCCACAGAAACCUCGAGGAUAAGAAACAUUCAUUGUUUUUUAUGCCAUUAACCUUGGGGUAAUUUGCUACACAGCAGUAGACAAUUAAUGCAACCAGAAUCCCCCACUGCAGCUGUUUGUGUUGCUCAUCUCUUUCUUUGCACAGAGAAAACAAGCGAGCCCUGACUUUAGGAGGAUGCAGAGCAGACGAGGCUUAACUGUGCUACUGCCCCGACCUCGCGCCUGCCAGGGGAGUGACCCAGCUUUGGUCCACACGGCCGGUACACGCACACACCCACAGCUUUAGCUGGGCAGGGCCUGGUGCGGCCGGGGUGGCCACUACUGUACAGGCCUGUCCAAGACUCGCCCGCCACCCACUUUGGGAGGAGCACGACUAACCCAGAGAUGGCCCUGUCACCUGGCUCACAGACACCAACACUGAGCAUCCCCAAGCAUCAUGAUGCAAACGAUCUCCCUCCAGUGCAGGGCAGGACCCGAGCUGCAGACGGUGCUCUGAGGACCACAGACGGAUUAUGCUGGCAGCCGGGGCCGUUGCUGACGAAGUCCACUGGCUUCCCCAAGGCAUGUGCGGGCCAAGGUGUGAGGCUGCCGCUUUCCCUCCUGACCCAGGCUUCGGACACCAAGGGCUCGGGGAGGGAGAGGGAUGGCCCCGUGCUGAGCCUAGGCCUCCAGCCGAGAGCGCGGGAGGCGGCGCAGCCCCUCUUCCACAUAGGCAGUGGCAGACCCAUCAUCUGAGCACCAAGCACGGCCGGCACUCUCAGGGACGCCUGCCAGCACUCGAUGUGCCCUACGGACCUCCCAUUAACAGGGACAGACAUGCAAAUCAAUCCAGUUUAGCAAACACUGUCUGACUGUCAACUGUGUGGGGGACACAGGAGCAGUGGCUAGAGGAAAGAGGGAAUUAGCGUGGCUCCUGCCUUCAAAAGCACCACUCUCCAGGCGGUGGGGAAAACAGGAUGACCAGGAAAACUGUGGACAAGAACUGAACUGAGGAGCCAGUAGCCUCUGCCACUUCUGAAUGCCCAAGGACUGGGGACAGUAAGAGACGCUCUGUGGAAGGGUCUGCCUCUGGCCUGGCCUCUGGAGGGAUCAAGAAGAAAGGCUUUUAAGGAGGGCCAGCAGCAAGUCAUCAUGGAGCGUGGGAGAGUGGGGUGGCUCAGGGUAUGUGGGCAUCUCUCCAUCAUGGCAGUAAGCUAUACGGGUCAGCUAGGACACAAGAGUGCUGUGUAACAAACAACCCCAAAGCAGCAGCAGCCUACAACCAUAAGCUUUAGUUUCCUGCUCACAGGUUUGCAAGUUGGCUGAGCAUCUCUGCUCCAGCCUGUGGGUCCAGUUCAGGUCUGCUCACAUGCCUCUCCUGCCAGGAUCCAGGCCAUAGGAGCAACAUACCCUUCUCAAGGUGCAACGCAGGCGUGCAAGAGGCCAAGCCGAACCACACGGCCACAGUGAAAGCGCCCCAGUGCACAGACACACCCUGCGUCUGCCCAUACUCCACGGGUUGCAGCAAGUCACAUGGCUGGUCCCAAAGUCAGCAGGGCCGGGAAGUACACCUGACCAGGAUGAGCCACACAAUGAUGGUUAGAGAAAGAAAAAUUGUGAACAAAUCAUACAAUCCUCUUAGCAGAUGGUGGCCAAGAAGUCAUAGGAGCUGAGACUGGAAACACAGACUGGAGCCUCGUACAAGAGAGACUGGCUGGUUGUUUGCCAAACCACUUCUUUCCUUCCUGGGCGCAAAACGACACUGUAGUUCCCAGCUUUCUUCGUAGCUUGUGUCUGAAUUCUGGCCAAUGGAGUGUGGUAGACGUGGGCCCUACCGCCAGGCCCAGGCCAAGGAAAGGCCACACAGAGCCCUCCACUCUUCCCUCAUCUGCUGGUAGACAGACAGAAUCCAGCGGAGGAACCCGAGGCCCGAGGUGAUGGCAGAGCCACAGUGUGGAAGGAGCCCGGGUCCCCGAGUCACCGCUGGGAGGACAGCGCCCAGGAGAGCCACCUGACCAGGACACUCAUGGUCGUUUGUUCUGGAAGUCGUGAGUGACUUUUUAUUGUGUUCAGCCACAGAGGUUUGGAGAUCAUUUGUCAUAGCGAUUAAUCUGGCCUCCUACUGGCCCGUGCCGCAGAGGCCCCUGGCAUGCGACUAAGUGGGCUCACUCGGAGCUGGAGCCGGGCAGGCCCGGACCGCACGAGCAGCCCAGCACUUGUUAGAGGGACGACCUUGAGGAAACCGCUUCGCCUCUCCAGGGCUUAAUUUCUCAUCUUUCAGUGGGGAUUUAUAGCUCCUACCGCAAAAGAUGCAUCACCGGCAAACCGCCACUGCACCAGGUGGGUCCCGCUGAGCCCCUGCGGGUUGCCCUGCAGCCCAGAAGUUUGCGAGAGGCUUUUAGGAGAUUGAAAGCCAGCCACAUAGCUUGUCCAGGGUUAAGACGUCCUGCGGGCUCCUCUGCUGGGGACAGGGGAGCAGGACACCCUCACUGGGCCUGGGCCUGAGAAGGUCAGCCCGGGUCAGGCGGGGUCCUCCACCCCACACACAUUUACCGCAGAGCUGGCAGGCGCAGGGUGAGUCUCUCCUGUCAGCCUGCUGCCGCCCCGCCCCCACCCCCCAAACCCGCAAAGGCCACUUGGAACCCGAGAUGCUGAGGCUGGACACCAGGGGACAGACAGACACACAGACAGGAACCGACAAGCAGAAGAGAGAAGCCAGCUUCUGAAAGAAAAGCAGAGAAAGGGACCCAGCGAGGAGAGAGGGAGACCCAACCCACGAGGUCAUUGGGGUCGGAGCGGACGCGGUCCCCGUGCCACCACAGGGCGCCAGUUCUCAGGCUGCCUUCUCAGCUCAAACGAGCGCCCUGCCCGGAGCACGUGGCUGCGCAUCCUGAGCGGAGCGGCGCGUCCACGGGCAGCCGGGGCGGCCCGCGCAUCCCCGCAGGGAACCGAGCGGGUCCCAGCGGCCCCUCCACGAGCACGGCUUCCACCCUGAGCCUGCACGAACAAAACAGGAAAGGCUUGCGACAGAUUGGGAAUUUCACCCCGAUCUCGAUUUCCAAAGGCGGGCAGGCCGACGACAACGUCCCUCAGGCCUCAGCCUCCUGUGACCUCACGCGGCAGCGCCACGCCCUCCGCAAACGCGGCGUGACCCCAGCACCUGCCGCUCCUCAGCUCCAGGGGCACGCCCGCGCUCAGCCGGGUUUAGAGCCGCCAGAGGGAACACCACCCAUCCGCAUUUGGGAGACAAGGCCAGUGAGGAUAAACGCCACCUCCCGCCGCGCUGGCCCGCCCGCCUGGCGAGCAGCUGGCACGCGAGCAGCGCCCCGGGCCUGGGCCUCCCGGUGGGCGGGGGCCAUCUGCACCCGGGCAGGGAGGGGCGCUCGGGGAGAACCGGCCAAAACGACCGGCCUGGUUCACGGGAUGUGUUGGUGGCACAACUCAGCCUAAACGGCAAACCUGACCGCCAGGCCCGUGCUGUGCCGCCGCAGCACACGCUGGCUCCUGAGGGUAGCUCCAUUUUCUCAUUGAUAAAACGGGGAUGUCACAAGGACGGGAGGAAAUAGUGGAUCACGGUGACUCGCAUGGCUCCGUGACUGACGCACAGUAAGCCCUCAGCAAAUGUCAGCGUUGCUGUAGCUAUUAUCGUUAAUAAUUGCUGUUAUUACUACUAUUAAUAACAACAAUAAUAAAGUGGGGCCAUGUGGCAUGCUCUUCCGUGCAGG
rnacentral:lncRNA from 1 species